AUUGAACGCUGGCGGCAGGCCUAACACAUGCAAGUCGAGCGGAUGAAGGGAGCUUGCUCCUGGAUUCAGCGGCGGACGGGUGAGUAAUGCCUAGGAAUCUGCCUGGUAGUGGGGGAUAACGUCCGGAAACGGGCGCUAAUACCGCAUACGUCCUGAGGGAGAAAGUGGGGGAUCUUCGGACCUCACGCUAUCAGAUGAGCCUAGGUCGGAUUAGCUAGUUGGUGGGGUAAAGGCCUACCAAGGCGACGAUCCGUAACUGGUCUGAGAGGAUGAUCAGUCACACUGGAACUGAGACACGGUCCAGACUCCUACGGGAGGCAGCAGUGGGGAAUAUUGGACAAUGGGAGAAAGCCUGAUCCAGACAUGCCGAGUGUGUGAAGAAGGUCUUCGGAUUGUAAAGCACUUUAAGUUGGGAGGAAGGGCAGUAAGUUAAUACCUUGCUGUUUUGACGUUACCAACAGAAUAAGCACCGGCUAACUUCGUG
rnacentral:rRNA from 1 species